GACGAACGCUGGCGGCGUGCUUACCACAUGCAAGUCGAACGAUGAAGUUCCUUCGGGAAUGGAUUAGUGGCGAACGGGUGAGGAACACGUGAAAAACCUGCCUUUCAUUUUGGGAUAACUCCGGGAAACCGGGGCUAAUACCGAAUACUCCGUCUCGGUGGCAUCGCUGAGCCGGGAAAAAAUUUUGAUGAAAGAUGGUCUCGCGGCCUAUCAGCUAGUUGGUGAGGUAAUGGCUCACCAAGGCGACAACGGGUAGCCGGCCUGAGAGGGCGACCGGCCACACUGGGACUGAGACACGGCCCAAACUCCUACGGGAGGCAGCAGUGGGGAAUAUUGGGCAAUGGGCGCAAGCCUGACCCAGCGACGCCGCGUGAGGGAUGAAGGCCUUCGGGUUGUAAACCUCUUUCAGUAGGGAAAAAGCGAAAGUGACGGUACCUAAAGAAAAAGCACCGGCUAACUAUGUG
rnacentral:rRNA from 1 species